rnacentral:rRNA from 1 species
AUGUGGUUCAGAAACACAGAUAAGUAUGAUUUUGUAGUUGAAAAGAAUGAUAAGCUGGAGGAGCAGAUGGCUUCUCUCUCUAGCUCCUUCAUGUCUUUAAAGCUGUGUUCCAUUUCGACUCCACGGGAGCAAUUUCUGUUGGCAGAGAAGCUGAAGAGUACUGGAAUAGAGGAGGUGGGUGUGGGUCAGAACGAGGGGAGGCGGGCACUAGAUUUUGGUGGUGGUGAGCAGAGCCAGAGCCAGAGCCAGAGCAGGCAGCGUUCAGAUGUUACCGCCAUCGAGAAGAGGACGGCAAGAAAGAGCAGCUUCCGCAUCUGCAAGCCACAGGGCACGUUCCUGUGGCCAAGCAACAGCGGCACGGACAUGAGCGGGAGCGGGGCAGGCAGCAGCGGCAUCAUCAGCAUGGACCACCACCAGCAGCUCCCCCGCAGAGUUGAGGUGGUGAUGGCGGAGGAGCUGGGGGCCGGGGACUACUUCUCCAGGCCGCCAUCGGCGUCGUCCACCACCAAUGCCGGCAAGCUGCUGGCCCUGCCCAGCCCCAGGUUACCCCUCCAGCCACAGCCGCUCUUCACCGCUGGGUUCACCGUCCCGGCCUUGCACCCCUUCGCCGGCCUCACCUUGCGUUGGGUGUGUGCGCGCAGGAUUCGCCGUCGUCGCCCUGCGGUGCUAGUCUGCUGCAGCAGGGGGGAGGAGGAUGGCCAUGCCCAACCUGGAGGCCGGAGGGAUGAGCACCGUGGGCACGGACCUGGCCCUCGCCACUCCCUCCUACUGGUGAAGCCUGAAGCUGAGCUCCUUCCCUUCCCCUCCCCUGCAAAUGAGAUACUCCCACGCUUGCUGCAUUCAUCAGCAGGCAUGCAGAACCAAGCAAUGUGCAAAGCAAAGGGGCUGGUGUGUUCUCUCUCGCUCUGUGUGUGCUCGACUUGGACGGAUGUGCAGUGUUUGGUGAAGAUGGUGGCCGCAACCCAUGAUUAUACUUGUACUGGCGUCAAUGGUCCACUUGGACGACUGCCAGCACCCCUGGUGGAAUUCAAGCUACAGCCAACAUUAGCAGGAAUUUAA